ACCGGGCUUGGGCAGGGCCGUGGGCAUCCGUCCCCUGGUGGCCCUUUUCCAGGGCCUCCACGGACCCAGUUCUACUUUGAGCCCUGCCCCUCCCCCACCUGACAUGUGAGUAUCCUCAAGUCAGAAGCCUCCCAGCCCCCUCCUCUCAUCCCUAGAAAGCAGUGCGUGUACUUCCUUCAGGGAGACUUUGAUCUCUCCUGCUCCAAGCCCUCCCACGCAUUGAUCUUGGCCCAGCAGCACCCGUCAUUGUCCCCAGGGAACCCAAGCUUAGAUACAGCCAUGAACAGGGCAGCAGGGAGAGCAGGAGCCGGGGGUGGGUGUGGGAGGGAGGGAAGGACAGCUGUGUCGCAGGCUCUGUUCUGCCCCGUUGGCUUGAAUUCAUGCCUGUUUCCAGAAACACGGUGGAGCACUCUGUACCAUGGAGGUCGGCAAGCCCCAGAGCCAAGAGUCUCCAAAGUAUGAGAUGGCUCGGGCUCCCGAGAAGCUGGCUUCUGAGUCACCCAGGGGCAGUGGGCAGACGGGCUGGCUGGGCGGCGCUGGGCCAUGCUUCGCUCAGGGACCAGGCCAUCGUGGCCCUGCCUCCCGAAACACACACCGGUUCCAAGGUUGCCAUGGUAAUCUUUCCGGCCAGCCAGGAGAGGGAAAGGAGUGUGGUGGAGAGUCACCGAGGGGUUUGGGAACAGAGACCUUCCACUCAGGGUGCCACGCCCAGAGCACUGAGCCGCACAGAGAUAGUGAGGAGUAUUCUGUCAUCGCAGGGGGCCUCGGGGCCAUCAGGGGGCCCUUCAGGGCACGUGGACAGGACAGAGCCCCCAGCGCUGAGGAGACUUUCCUGGGGGCAGGCGGUGACUGAAGUGUUAAUACCCUCGAUCAGCAAGAAGUAGAAGUGAGAUCUGAACUUGACUCUACUCUUCCCGCAACUUGGAAGACGAGUGCCCCGGGGGACACUCAGCUGCUCUCUGUGGCUCGGCCUGCCCUUGUGUCACAGGCGGAGCAGAGGAAGCAGCAUCUGCACAGGUGCGGUUGGGGCUGGGGGACGGUCAGGGCAAACUGCCAACCCCUUUCAUUUAUUUUCCUCCGGAGCCCCCAGGUCAAGGAGAGACAGGCAGGGUCAUGCCCUGCAGUCCCCUUUCUUGGGUAAGCGAACGUGGUAGGACCGCACAGCACCCAGGGCGUCCUGUGCCGAUGCAGGCAGAGAACCUGGCAGCGAGGGAUCCAGGGGUGCAGGAAGGAGGGAGGAGGGUCAGCUCUGAGCCAGACGGGGUGAGCCCGGGCCCAUCUUGCCUCCUCCUCUCUGAAGCCUCGGGCAGGUGACUUUCCAAGCCACGUUUCCUUAUCUGUCUUAUGGAGAUAAUGACGGGAGCCGUCCCUGAGAUAUUUGAGGAGCAAGCCAGAUUACGCGCAGAAGGGAGCUGGAAAUGGUGGCAUUCCUUAUGCAAUUAUUCUCCACUGCAGCAUCAGGAGCGUGUAGCACUUGACUUGCCGUCAGGGUCAGACCAAUUAGAAGAUGUACCACCUGCACUUGGGUUUGUUCAGAAACAGCGGCUUGUCUACCCCGGAGCGGUUAUAAUUUGAACCCUGCGUGGGUGUUUCUGUUUUACUGUCUAAGUAACCCAUCCACCCGUGGCUACAAGGAAGCAGAAAGAGACAAUAAUUUCAAAGUGCCUGCACGUCGAGAAGGAGCGCUGGGAAAAUGUCGGAAACUCCCUACACCUGCUCCUUCUCUCUGGACCCCGGAAUCCAGGCUGGAAGGAGAUCUCCCUCCAGCAGGCAAUGGAAGAGGCAUUUUAAAAAUACUAAUUUUUUUAUAAGUGAGUCUUAAUUAUUUUGGUAUGGUUUUAGAUUUACAGAGUAAUUGAGCAGAUAGGACACAGAGUUCCAUGGACCCACCCCACUCCCGCGCAGUUUCCCCUGUUGUUAAUAUCGUGCACAUUUGUCACGAUUGAUAACCAUACCAACACCCUAUUAUUCACCGGAGUCUGUAGUUUAUAUUAAGAUUCACUCUCCCGGCUGCGCAGGCUCUGUGUUCGACGAAUGUACAAAGUCGUGUAUCCACCACAGAACAGCUUUAUCCCCCAAAUUCCCCUGUGUCAACGAGUCCUGUCUGAGAGCUGCGCACACGGCGAGGGGCCAGCCGUGUGACUCACGCUGACCGAGGAGGGAUGGGCUCCCAGAGAGAGCCAGUCACGUGCCUCCAGGGAAAGGAAGGGGCCGGCAUUCCUGCGUCUCAGUGACCUGGACUGGAUGCUUCCUCUCCAGAGUUAAUUCUGACGUGUGUCCCUUCUUCCCCCACCUCUGCACAGCGUUCUCCGUGAAGCGUCCCUGUGGGCAGCCUGGGCUGUGCGUAUGGCAGGAUUGAACCUGCCCCACCAUCAGGUCUUCUGAACUGACUCCUGGCCACUUCCGGUCAUCCCUCCAUGGGCAGGAUUCUGGGAUGCCACCCACACUUUGUGCCCUGGACCCUCAGAAUCUCCUUGUUCUGUCCUCUGGCUCCCCUCCAAGUCCUCAGGCUCAGGGGCUGCUUUUCCUCCAAAACCGCCCGUUGCUGGAGCAGGCCUAAUGUCCACAGAGCCUCCACGGGUGCAGAAAAGUGCACUGGGGGAAGCAGAGCAUGGUGGGAGAAUGCCCCAAGGGUCCAGCAGCCAGGGCAUGCUCUCCCCUGCCCCACAGUCUCCGCAGCCCAGGCAUGCUGUUCCAGAAACUUCCUAACCUCCUGGGCAGCGGGGACAAGUGGAACCAAGCACUGAUGGGUGACCAGAAGCGCACAAGACCUGUCAGCCUCCCUGUUUGAAUGUCCUCCUGCCCCGUGGGUGUCAUGUGGGCUCUCGUGAGCCCAUGGCUGUGCCUUGCCCUCUUUGCCCUUGAGGACACGGGCUCGUGGUCAUUGUGACCAUCGUCUCUCUAGAAACAGGCUGAGGCUGGUGAGCUAACUCUGGAGAAGCCAACACUGUGAAUCGAUCCCUGGGCUGCCCGCCUACCUCAGAACUUUCUAUUCCUUUCCAUGUGGGUGCAGCAGUUUCCCAGGGACCAUUGUUGCAGUGGACUGAGAUUUAUUUCUAAUAAUUGUCCUCGCUUUAUUCAACACGGACUGCUGGCUCCUUUCUCAUCAGACACAUGUGUCUGUGCAUGGUACCCCACAGGUACCCCAUGCAAAUACAGAUACGCUAUCUUUGGACUUGUCGUCCCUCUUCCCUCACUCUGCUUGAGGUGGUGGUGUUUGACAUCACCGGGCCAAGGGCCCCCCCCCGCCCCGCCACCGCAUGUGGUUGGCUCUCCGGAGAGCAGUGGAGGCAGGAAACCAUUGAGUGCUGGGUUCUUAGUGGGAAGCAUCGCCAUUACCAUCAACUUGGAACAGCUUGAGGAGCGAUCUGAUGUCCGUUCACAAUCCAUGUUUGUGUGUGCAGAGGGGCUGAACUAGCUGGAGAAGGGAGCGCGUCAUACUGAAGAUGACAGAGAUGUAAGAAUAAGGCUUUGAGGCAAUAACCCUGUAAGCCACGGUUUACCAGAUGGCAAGGACUGAUACUCAAUUCACUACCCUUGAGGUAUGGAUUCAUAUCUGAUGUCUACUGGACAGAUGUCCCCAACCAGCAGGGAACCAGAUGAGAAGUCAGAGUGUGCAUACAGAGGAGAAUGCUCUCUCUCUCUCUCUCUCUCUCACACACACACACACACGCUAUAACAUGGGUGAAUCUUGUUAAUAUUACACCCAGUGAGAGACGACAUACUAUAUGAUCUCCUUGAUGUGAAACGUCCAGUAAAGGCAUAUCUGUAGAGCCACAAGUAGGUCGCUGGUUGCCUGGGGCUGGGGGCCGGAACGGGGAUUAGCUAUAAAUGUGCAUGAGGGCUCUUGCUGGGGUGAUGGAGACGUUCUAAAACUGGAUCGUGAUGAUGUUUGCACAACGUGGCAAAAUUUGCUAAAAAUUAUUGAAGUGUCUGCUUAAAAUGCUUGAAUUUUAUGGUGUGUUGUUUAUGCCUCAAUAAAGUUGUUUUUUAAA